GAAGAAGAGUCGCUAACGAUGGCAGCUAUCUCAGAGUAACGGGUGGAUCACCUGCCUUCAGACCCGCUGCUGCACGUUCUGUCCUACCUGAGCUUCAGGGACCUGUUCCACUUUUUCUGAGAGACAAGCAUCAUAUUUCAUGGCAUCGCAUCUACAGUACAAACCAAGAUCAGGCUGAUGAAGUGAAGAUUAAUGUCACAUAAGGUUGGAGGUGGGCAUAUCUAGUCCUGCACAACAAAACUGGAUGGAUCACAUCAGAGGGAACAGGAAACAGAGCGAUGUUACACGUACAAAUAAAAAAAACCAAUGUUAUCCCAGAUGAUAAAACAUGCACAUAAUUGUAAUCAUUUUCUGCAUAAAAAGUCACCCAAAUGCCUGAACUGUGUAUACACAUCUGAAAACUGUUUUUUUAAACAUAUUUUUUUUUAGAAAAGGACAAAUGAAAUCCUUAACACAAAUACGUCUUGGAAGAAGAAAAACAGACAUAUUUUACACAAUACCAUCCAUUUUUUGGCUUUUUUGAAUGAAGUACUGGGUGUUUUAAUCUUGUAAAGACUUUUAGAGUAUUCAAAUGAAACAAUUCCCAAGCCAAAAAGGUCAACGUGAACCACUGUGUUAUAUUGUUGGGUCGUUUGAACAACAAAGAUAUUAUAUUAGCUUUUCAUCUGUUUUAUUUUCAAAGUAUCAGAGCAGUAUUUGAGAGCUCGACUUAAAUGCAACAGCGUCUUUUAUUUUGAAAGGGUCUGGAGUCGGAAGUGUUGCAGGUGUUGUUGAACCCGGUUGCGGCACUUCAAAGAUGUCUGCCGGCAAGGAGACGCUUUAUGCUUCUUUAUCAAAUCUUCUUUAUCAACGGAAAAAAAGAUUGAAGGAGCGUUCAUGCAGGGUUUGGGUCUCUACACUGUGGAAGAGUUGAAGUUUUCCCCCUCGGGGCUCUUGUACACUCGAGGUCCAUCUCAGUAUAAGAUCCCUGCGGUGUGCGACGUGCCACUCGGAUUCAUCGUCUAUCUGCUGUCAGAUUUCCACAACCCCCAUGCUGUCUACUCUUCAAAGGGUAUUGGAGAACCCGUCCUCUUCCUGGGCAGUUCAGUGUUCUUCGCCAUCAAAGAUGCUGUGGCUGAUGUUCUGACUCAAUGAUCACACAUGGAUGCACCACGGGGUCGCAGUCCCAUCCGUCGGAGAUGAAGCCUGCAAGAGCGACAGGAAAGGCUGCUGAUCAGAUGUUUGCCAGGCAGAGGAUAGGAGAAAGAAAGCCAAAUUCAGGAUUUCAGUAAUCAAGUAAUCAGUUAAUAUGUCUUUUUAUGUUUUUUUAUGAUGUGUUAUUUUAUGUCUGACAUUGAUUUAUACAGAAAUGAAAUGUCAUUAGUAGUUGACGAAGUAGUUAAGAAAUUACAUUUAACUCAAAAGCUCCUGAAACUGUUAGACCAAAAAUGUGAGUUGAUGGUGGUGUUGUACAUGUACCUGUCCAAUGUCCAAAGCAGACAUCCAUCACGGUGUCGGUGCUAAUGUUCUGCAAAACAAAACAGGAUUCGCUUUGCUAUCAGAGGGCUGGUGAGCGGCAGAGGAGGUAAGGCAGAAGCAAAUGGCCAGUAGGUUUGUGGAUUCAACAAGUAAUCACUUAAUAUGUGUUUUUUAUGGUGUCUUAUUUUAUGUCUGACAUCCAGUGUCCAUAGAGCAAUUCAUACUUCUUCCGACAUCCAUCACGAUGUCCGUCCCAAUGUUCUGCCAAACAAAACACAAUUGUCUUUUCUAUUCAAAUACAAGAUGUAUCUGUAUUAUAUCUCAUUUUAUAUAUUUAAUAAUAUGCAUGUAAAACAUGUCUUAUCCUAUUCUAAUGGCUGUUUGAAGGCAACUGGACUUCUUGCUUGAAGCUUGAAGAUGUUUCACCUCUCAUCUGAGAAACAUCUUCAGUUCUGGAGACUGGUUAGACAGUCCAGGCUUUUAAACUCCUCCCUAUCUCACCUAGUGGGUGCUACCUCUGGGAGCAAUAGAUACCACUGAGUGGAACGUUCACGGCUUGAGUGGCUCCCGCUGGGCUGUCUCAAGUGGAGUCGUUAGCACCUGAGGAUACUUAGGUGAGCGCAGAAACUAAGCAUCACGUGAGUCGCUAGAGUCACGUGAGCCCAGAUGUGAAUGUGUUAGUCGUUUGGGGAGGGAUCUCAAAAAUUGCGUCAUAGAUAGGUGGCAGCUGGUGUCUUAGACCGCCCCCUCUAUCCAGUGAUGGAUGUUCUAGUUUGACAUGGAUGGCCUCCUUAACUCUUCUCUCAAACCAUCUAUGUUCCCGGUCCAGAAUGGGGACAUCGCUCUCUUCAGAGGAGUGUCCUCUCUCCUUGAAAUGCAGGUGAAGGGCCGGGGUUUGACCGGAGGAGUGAGCUCGUCUGUGCUGGGUCAUGCGUUUGUGGAGCGGCUGUUUAGUCUCCCCUGUGUACAGGUGGGAGCGCCGCUCGCUGACUUAGACCGCACAGACGACAUGGCUUAGUUGGUUUUUGGGAGUUUUGUCUUUGAGGUGUAGCUGUUUCUGUCUCAGAGUGUUACAGGGUCUGAAAUGAACUGGAAUGUUGUGUUUGGAGAAAAUCCUCCUCAGUUUCUCUGACACUCCAACAAGUUGUGGUUUGUGGUGUCCUCCCCGUUGGUGGUGUAGGGUUCUGGUUUGUGUUUGUGGUUUCUGGUUAGUGUGUGUCGGUUUGCGGUUUCUGUCUGUAAAAGCCGUCGUUGUUGUUGAAGUAGGUCGUGGUGAGGCAGAGGUCUAAAAGAGUGCAGAUCUGGUCCGGUGUGAGACUGGUACGGUCGUUGAGGGAGUGUCAGAGAAAGUCUGUGCGGUCAAAGUCAGCCUGCAGUGCUCCCAUCUAUAUAUAGGGGAGACUAAGCAGCCGCUCCACAAACGCAUGGCUCAGCAUAGACGAGCUCACUCCUCCGGUUAGAACUCAGCCGCUCACUUGCAUCUCAAGGAGAAAGGACACUCCUUUGAGGACAGUGAUGUCUGCAUUUUGGACCGGGAACAUAGAUGGUUUGAGAGAAGAGUUAAGGAGGCCAUCCGUGUCAAAAUAGAACAUCCGUCACUGAAUACAGGGGGUGGUCUACGGCACCAGCUGUCACCUAUCUAUGACGCAGUUUUGAGAUCCCUCCCCAAGCGACUAACACAUUCACAUCUGGGCUCACGUGACUGUAACGACUCACAUGAUGCUUAGUUUCUGCGCUCACCUGAGUAUCCUCAGGUGCUAACGACUCCACUUGAGGCAGCCCAGCAGGAGCCACUCAAGGUGUGAACGUUCCACUCAGUGCUUUCUAUUGCUCCCAGAGGUAGCACCCACUAGGUGAGAUAGGGAGGAGUUUAAAAGUUUGGACUCUAACCAGUCUCCAGAACUGAAGAAGCUUCUCGGAUGAGAGGUCAAACGUCUUCAAGCUUCAAGCAAGAAGUCCAGUUGCCUUCAAUCAACCUUUAGGAUACAAUGACCUGUAACACACACACACACAGUACAUUCAACACACACGCUUAACUUUAUAGUAAGAAAAUAUAAAACAAACAGAGAGAGAUACAGAACAGCAAAGUCUCUUCAUCACCCUCUUGCUGUCUGUUUAAAGCUACCUCAGACUCUACUAGUUAUCCUGCUAUCUCUUCUCUCUUUCUCUCCUCAGACCCACUCUCAUAUUUAUUAACCUUUAUUACAUGCCAUUAACUCUGUGUCCUCUCUCUCCCGUAGUCCUGUGCUUGUCUCUCUCUGGUCUCUCUUUCUCUGUACCGUCUGCAGGUGUCUCUGGCUCCGGAGCUGCAUGUUCUCUGUCCGCGGUCCUGGCUCCACCGACCUGCCGCCAUUUAUUGUCUACAGCUAUCCAUUUUGAACACAUUAUUAUGUUUAAUGCAUCAACACUUGACGCAAAGCAGAAGCAGAGGAGGCAAGGCAGAAGAAGAGGAGGCAAGGCAGAAGCAGAUUUGGAGAACAUAUUUAAAAAAAAAAAAAAAAAAAAAAACGUUGUAUGCUCAUUCUUCAAGUAAAGUCAUUACUUUUAUUUAAUCAUUUUAAUAAGUGUAUCGGUCCUAUUAGUCGAAGACAGCGGCCAUUUUGUAAAAUAUGGCAGCAGUGGAAUUUAUUAAAGUCAUAUUAGAAGGCUUUUUUUUCUCUGCCACAAUUUUUCAACUACUUUUAUUUUCUUUCUUUAUAAAUUAAUUACAGUACACUGAAUAAUUUUGUAGUUUGGCAUAUUGGUUAGACAAAAGAAGCAAUUUAAAGGUGAACGUUUUUCUUUUUACACAGUAAACAAUUACUCAAUAAAGAAAUUAUCGGUAAUGAAAAUACUCAUUAGUUAAUGUAAUAAUAUAUAAUAUUAACUUGUAUCUAUCAAGUACUUUCUUGAUACUUACAUACUAAUGAUGGUUACACAUUUUUUAAGUGAUAGUUUCCAUGCAGUGGUGGAUUAUAUUUAUGUUGUAUUCUUACUCCAAAGGUUAGUAGUAGUUUUAAUUUUAGUUAAUUAAUUUAAGCAGUAAGUAACAACAAUAAUUUACAUGCAACAAAUACUUACAUGCUUCUAAAUGAAUUUCAGUCAGAUCUUACAUUUUGUAUUAAUCCUUUUCAUGCAUUUCCUCUUGAUUUUCUUCCUGUCUUUCUGUUUCCUCCUUUUUUCCAUCUCAGAUUGAAGGAGCGUUCAUGCAGGGUUUGGGUCUCUACACUCUAGAUGAUCACACAUGGAUGCACCACGGGGUCGCAGUCCCAUCCGUCGGAGAUGAAGCCUGCAAGAGCGACAGGAAAGGCUGCUGAUCAGAUGUUUGCCAGGCAGAGGAUAGGAGAAAGAAAGCCAAAUUCAGGAUUUCAGUAAUCAAGUAAUCAGUUAAUAUGUCUUUUUAUGUUUUUUUAUGAUGUGUUAUUUUAUGUCUGACAUUGAUUUAUACAGAAAUGAAAUGUCAUUAGUAGUUGACGAAGUAGUUAAGAAAUUACAUUUAACUCAAAAGCUCCUGAAACUGUUAGACCAAAAAUGUGAGUUGAUGGUGUUGUACAUGUACCUGUCCAAUGUCCAAAGCAGACAUCCAUCACGGUGUCGGUGCUAAUGUUCUGCAAAACAAAACAGGAUUCGCUUUGCUAUCAGAGGGAUGGUGAGCGGCAGAGGAGGUAAGGCAGAAGCAAAUGGCCAGUAGGUUUGUGGAUUCAACAAGUAAUCACUUAAUAUGUGUUUUUUAUGGUGUCUUAUUUUAUGUCUGACAUCCAGUGUCCAAAGCACAACUCAUACUUCUCCUGACAUCCAUCACGAUGUCCGUCCCAAUGUUCUGCCAAACAAAACACAAUUCUCUUUGCUAUUCAAAUACAAGAUGUAUCUGUAUUAUGUCUCAUUUUAUAUAUUUAAUAAUAUGCAUGUAAAACAUGUCUUAUCCUAUUCUAA